GACUACUAUCAAAGUAACGGCCUUAUCACUACAAAAAAAUUAUUUUAUUGAAAAUUACUUAUCGUACUUAAGGUCAUAGGCGAUUAAAGUCGAGUAGCUUACCAAUAACUUAAAUUUCAUUAUUUUAUCUUUUUCUAUGUUUUUUUGCCAUUCCCUACUAUUCUUUUAUGUAUUCAAAAGAAAAAUCAUUUUUCCCCGAAAUUAGUUUUUUACUUUAGAGAUAGCCCCUCCUUUCUACCUUUCUAACAGUUUCAGGUUAUUCUCUUUCUGUGUAGGGGUCCAUCUCUUUGGACUGAUUGCAAACAAUGCACACGAAAUUGCAGAUCACAGGUGACGUCGACAAGACUUUAGCUAUAGUGUACGAGUUGACAAAUCUAUAGUUCACGGGGAUUGCUUUGUGUGGACAAGAAGUUAUUUAUUUACUACCGCCCUUUUCUUUUGAACUCUUAGAGUCGCUUUGUUAAUCAUUUCACUAAUGUCAUGCAUAAUUUUUCAUUAUUGGAAACUUGAAAUAGUAUUAGACUUCUUUUCAUAUUUGGAGAUGGAUUUAGUAUUAUUAUAUUGUUGAUGCAUGUUAUGGCUUGCUUUUUUUAGCGAUAUUGGUUGGAUAUGUUAUUGAUUUUUGAGACAGGAA